GAAAUUGUGGAGUGGGGAUACUGGGUUUCCUGAGGUGACAACAAAGUCGAGCGUUCGACCGAUCUUAAUAGUUAAUGGCUCAGUCUCGCUACGAAUUUCGACGAGUACGCAUCGUAGUUCUCGUAGUACACAUUAUCCACAAAAUGAAAUUGUGGAGUGGGGAUACUGGGCUUCCUGAGAUGACAACAAAGUCGAGCGUUCGACCGAUUUUAAUAGUUAAUGACUCAGUCUCGCUACAAAUUUCGACGAGUACGCAUCGUAGUUCUCGUAGUACACAUUAUCCACAAAAUGAAAUUGUGGAGUGGGGAUACUGGGCUUCCUGAGAUGACAACAAAGUCGAGCGUUCGACCGAUUUUAAUAGUUAAUGACUCAGUCUCGCUACAAAUUUCGACGAGUACGCAUCGUAGUUCUCGUAGUACACAUUAUCCACAAAAUGAAAUUGUGGAGUGGGGAUACUGGGCUUCCUGAGAUGACAACAAAGUCGAGCGUUCGACCGAUUUUAAUAGUUAAUGACUCAGUCUCGCUACAAAUUUCGACGAGUACGCAUCGUAGUUCUCGUAGUACACAUUAUCCACAAAAUGAAAUUGUGGAGUGGGGAUACUGGGCUUCCUGAGAUGACAACAAAGUCGAGCGUUCGACCGAUUUUAAUAGUUAAUGGCUCAGUCUCGCUACGAAUUUCGACGAGUACGCAUCGUAGUUUUCGUAGUACACAUUAUCCACAAGUAAUAACAAAGAGUUAAUGCAAGUAUAUUAUUAUCACUCAUUCUUUCAAUAUUCUACACGAUUUAUUUCGUUUCACAAUGAAAUUGUGGAGUGGGGAUACUGGGUUUCCUGAGGUGACAACAAAGUCGAGCGUUCGACCGAUCUUAAUAGUUAAUGGCUCAGUCUCGCUACGAAUUUCGACGAGUACGCAUCGUAGUUCUCGUAGUACACAUUAUCCACAAAAUGAAAUUGUGGAGUGGGGAUACUGGGCUUCCUGAGAUGACAACAAAGUCGAGCGUUCGACCGAUUUUAAUAGUUAAUGACUCAGUCUCGCUACAAAUUUCGACGAGUACGCAUCGUAGUUCUCGUAGUACACAUUAUCCACAAAAUGAAAUUGUGGAGUGGGGAUACUGGGCUUCCUGAGAUGACAACAAAGUCGAGCGUUCGACCGAUUUUAAAAGUUAAUGGCUCAGUCUUGCUACGAAUUUCGGCGAGUACACACUGUCGUCCUCAUAGUACACAUUCUCCA